rnacentral:rRNA from 1 species
ACGCUCGACAUACGGGCAGCAGUGGGGAAUAUUGCACAAUGGGGGAAACCCUGAUGCAGCAACGCCGCGUGAAGGAAGACGGUUUUCGGAUUGUAAACUUCUGUUCUUAGUGAAGAUAGUGACGGUAGCUAAGGAGCAAGCCACGGCUAACUACGUGUCAGCAGCCGCGGUAAUCUGAGCGGGCUGGCAAGGC